rnacentral:lncRNA from 1 species
UUUCAUCCAAGGCGAAUAUACAAGUCUGUUGCUUGGAGUUCAUCAGGAUGCCACAUUGUCCUCGUCUGCUAAAAAGUUACAUUUUGAUGAAUAGUAUUUGGCACAACCUAUAAGGAGUAUGAUCCUUUGGAUGUAAUUUGGUUUACCCAUGAGUUGUAAUUGAUGUACUGUAGCACACUGGAUUUUUUCUUCAUUUGCAAUGUUUGAGUUCUUGAUGAGUAUGUACGCCAAGCUGCUAAAGAAGUUAUAGAAUUUAUGAACUGAUGUAUUAGAAUAGAAUCGUUUUCCAAAUUGCAGUCUAAAUAGUUGUCAGAUUUCAUAGUAAAAAAUUGAGCCUCACACUAGAGUUUAGGCCUACUUAAUGACAGUAAAAUAUAGCAGCUUCGCUAAGGUGCAUAGAAAAUCAGAGAAACUAGAGAAACACUGACAUUUUUUUAACACAUCCAUCAAAAUGAAGAUUUUAUAUUAUCCAAAAUGUAUUGUCAGGGAGAACAAUCAGCUAUAGGCUGGUACAAAGUUGUCAUGAAUUCAACAUCACAUUUGCAAGAUUUGACAUUCCUAGUCUAAGUCUGCUCCAUCAGCAACCAUUGCGUUCUCUUCAACGGUUUUUUCAGCAGAUGUGUUAUUCCAACAUUAUACUUGAGAGCCUUUGGAUAGAACGACGGGGGAGUGUUGUAGCUAUUGCACGAGUAGGUGGCCUCCAGUUUGCUCUUCGCUCCCUCAUGUUGAUGCCUACCACAUCCUUUUAGGGAUAAUUAGUUUUGUGCCCCUAGUUGUGUCCCACUCGUCUGUUUUACCCCUAGUUUCAGAAACUCACCUGUUCUGUCCAAGCCACUUUGGGAUUCUUUCGUUUUUGCCCUUCCGUCACGGUUCCGCUUGGUCAGCGCAGUUUGACCGUAUACGGCGCUCCGUUUUGGACACCAGAUGCCCCUGGCUUGGACAUAACCCACUCGGGGCCAGCUCACUCUCAUCCCCACUCUCCCGUUCCCCACUCACUCUGACAAACCCUAGGCGGCGGCGACGGCGACCGAAUCAGCACCCACCAGAUCCACUCCUGCUGGCAACCUAGGCGGCGGCAACGGCGACCGAAUCAACGCCCACCAGAUCCACUCCUGCUGGCGACCUAGGCGGCGGCGACGGCGACCGAAUCAGCGUCCAGCAGAUCCACUCGUGCUGGCAAUGGGGGACAACCUGGACGGCUGCGCUGCCACACGCGGCGCCUGCGAGCGAAGAACACGGUCAUCUCAGAGAACAUCACAGUAAGUUGCCCCAUCCCCUCCAGAUCUGCUGUCUCUUGCCUCUGUCCCCUAGAUCUUCUGUUUCUUGGUGGAUUUAGGUUAGGAUAUACAUGUUUGCAUCUUAUUUAGGCUAGUCUCUUGCUGUAUUUUAAUAUUGUGACAUGUUUGCAUAGGAUGGAUCCUGCUAGAGCAUUUAAUCUCAGUGUUAGAAUGGAGACAUGCAUUUUAUCUGGUGCUGGUACAAAAGGAAAAGAACAAGGCUUCACAUUUCCAUUAGUUGUGGACAACAGUAGCACAUUUGAUCAGUUAAGGGCAACAAUUGGUGCCAAAUAUCCUUGGGGAUUAUAUGAUGCUGUGGAGAUAAGGUAUUGGGAUGCAUCCAAAGUUGCUUGGGUUCCUAUUCAGUCUGAUAGUGAGUUAGGUGUCAUGUUUGCUACCAAUGCACAAACCAUGUCAUGCAAUAUGGAAAUCAAUGUUAUUCAGAGGCCUAGAUCACAGAAAAAUUCCAAUCCCACUGGUUCAAGGCCCUCUAAUACUAAAGCAUCUGGAAAACUGACUAAAAUAAGGGCAACAAGCAGCAGCUGCAAGCCACCUACAACUCCUAGUGCAAAUGUUCAGUCAGAGCAUUCUUGCAGUAAAACCCAAGCUAAACCUAGCAUAGCUGUUGAUCCUGUUGUGGAGGAAGCAGAGCCUGAUGCAGUACCUUUGUCUGAUGAAGAGGAUGAGAAACUUUACCCAGGAUAUACUGAGCACAACAUGGAGGAAGAUAAAGCAAAUGAGUCCUACAUUCCUGCUGAAUUUUCAGAUACAGAUGAAGAUGAGAAGCUAGAGGAAAAGGACAAUGCAGAAUUUGGAACUAAAGAUGAGGACAUACCUGUAAUGAUGUAUGACAAAGAAAAUCCCUCUAUUGAGGAGGGGGUAGUUUUUCCUUCUGCAGUUGAGUGUAGAAAUGCAGUUGCAACUUUCUCAAUUAAGAGUGAAACAGAGUUCAUUAUUUUGAAAAGUGACCCAACAAGGUUCACUGUCAAAUGUGCCUCUGAGAGAUGUAAGUGGAGGCUACAUGCCUCUUCAAUAAGGAGAAGCACAUUAUUUCAGGUACUUAUGCAUUUUCUUCUUUAUGUAGUUUCUAUAGUAAUUGUGAAACAAAUCUGUUGCAUUUACUAACUUCUUGUUCUUCUUCUUUUUAGAUUAAGGUCAACCCUUACCCUCACAAUUGUCCAAGUGUUAAUAGAUCUCAGAGAUUGAGGGCUGUAAAGAGAAGAUGGAUAGCAGAUGCUUGUAUGCAGUGGCUUAGAAAUAAUCCAUGCAUGGGCCCAAAGGAAAUUCAGCAGAGGCUGACUGAGAAAUAUGGAGUGGAGGUGCCAUACAGUAGGUGUUAUUUUGGUAAAGAGCUGGCACUAGACAAGAUGUUUGGGAAGUACAGUGAGAGUUUCAGUCUUAUUUAUUCAUUCAAAGCUGAAGUUGAGAGAACAUCACCAGGCAGUGUAGUUGAAAUCGACAAGCACAGCAGGCCCAAAGUUAAAGAAUAUUUAGAGGAGCACCACACAAAAAUAUGGGCUAGGGCACUCUUCAAUGAUACUUGCAAAGUGGACUAUGUGAACAACAACCUAGCUGAAGCUUUCAACUCAAGGAUCAAGAAAUACAAGGGGCUUCACAUAGUAGAUUUGUGUGACAAGAUCAGGCAGUAUAUUAUGCAGAAAUUUGAUAUCAGGAACAUGAUUGCCAUUGACCAUUUUGAAGGCCACUUAAUUGUUCCAUCUGUAAUGAAGGCAUUAAUGCAAAAACUAAAGGUUUAGAGAUGACUUUGAUUAGGAGAAGCCCAAAAGAGGCUGAAGUUACUGCUACUGACAAAGAAAAAAGAGAAUGGAGGUACCUAGUUGACUUGGAGAACUGGACUUGUAGUUGCAGACAGUGGCAAAUAACUGGUAAGCCAUGCAUCCAUGCUCUCUUCUUUAUCACUGCUCUAAGAGGUGAAGCUAGUGCAAUAGAUCAGUAUGUGCACAACUUUUACUCUGUUGAGAAAUUCAGAGCUACAUAUGCUGAUAACCUUCCAGCUUUGGAAGGAAAACAACAGUGGGAAAUUGUGAAUCCAGGAUUUAAACUCUGUGCUCCAGUUCAAAACAGAGCACCAGGCAGGCCUAGGAAAACUAGGAUAAGGUCUAGCAGUGAAGGAAAGGGACUUGGUCCCAGGAAGUACAAGUGUGGCAGAUGUGGAAGACUAGGCCACCAUGCAAACAAGUGCAAAAAUUCAUUUGAUGCAGCAUUUGGUGAAGAUGAACAUUGGGGAGCAGAGAAUGCAGAAGAGCCAGUAGUGAAAGAGCUAGCAGAUCCACUGGAAGUAGUUGAUGGAAUAGAUGGAGAGGAAGGAUAUCCACCAGCAGAUCCACUAGAAGUAGUUGAUGGAACAGAUGGAGAGGAAGUACAUCCACCAGCAGAUCCACUACAAGAGCCAGCUAGAGAGCCAAGACCAUCAUCUACAAAUGCUAGUGUAGUCAGGUACAUUUGUGUUUGUGUGUAUGUUUGUUUAUGUUUUAUUAUCAUGCAGAAAAGAUGAAAUGUAAUAUGUUUGCACUUGUGACAGCCCCAGGAAGAAUUACAAGAGGGCAGCAGCUAGAGGAGCUUCUCCAGUUAAGAAGCAGACAACAACACCUCAAGUUCCUGCUGUACUAGCCCCCAACCCAGCAAAGAACACAAGAAGCAGAAGUAGGCUAGCUCCAAAUCCAGCUGAGAACACCAGGAGCAAGAAACUGAAGUUCUAGUUCUUGUUGUGACCCAAUGAUAUUCUGUGUGUCCUAUUGUACUGCUAGGUGAUGAAGUAUUGUGUGUCCUGUUGAACUACUAGUUGAUGACCUUGUUUGAAGUUGUUGAACUACUGUGUGUUUGAAGUUGAUGAACUACUGUGUGUUUGAAGUUGAUGAAGUACUGUGUGCUUUAAGUUGUUGAACUACUGUGUGUUUGAAGCUGAUGAAGUUGUUUCAGGUUCUGUUGUACUGCUUGCUUUAAUUUGAUGCUUGUCCCCUUAAUGAUAAGUCAUGUAACAAUAUGAACGAAAUUGUCGUUGUCGACGACAAUUAGGUCAUGUACAUAAGUAAUGUAACAAAAUGAACCAAAUUGUCGUCGUCGACGACAAUUUGGUCAUGUACCUAAGUCAUCUAACAAUAUGACCCAAAUUGUCGUCGUCGACGACAAUUUGGUCAUGUACCUAAGUCAUCUAACAAAAUGAACCAAAUUGCUUUCCUCAUCCAACAACAAACUACAUUACAUUAAGGGGAACAUUAAUACAAGGGAUCCCUUACAACAAACAUACUUGAUUCACUCACUGCCUUGAAAAUGCAACAAGUACAACACAUACAAUAAUUCCAGCAAACAACGCUACCCAAACAUUGAGCAUCUCAUCUCUCUCCUUCAGUUUCUUCUUCAAAGCACGAUUCUUCUUUGUCAGUUCCAUAUUUUCCCUCUGCAAUUUGUGAGACUUGAUCCAGCUGUGUUCAACCUCUGCAUGUAGAUCUUCAAAUGCAAGUGCCACACAUAGUGGAGGAGGAGGGUCAACCAAAACCACCCACUUGCACUCAUCUGGUAACUAGUUACAUCAGAAAAGAACAACAGAUUUAGAAAUUUCACAUUAGCAGCAACCAAAUCAGAAACAAAUUGACAAUAUUAGUUGAUUACAUCAAGUGGGCAUCCUAAAAAACACCGGCCAGUGCUUGCCCCUCCCCAAGCCACCCGGCAAGCAGGAACUAGCCCAUGACCAGGGCAUCGAUGCUUCGACCUCGAUUCCAAGCCGCAGAAUGAUUCGUCUGGGUGAUGGUACUCUAAGACAAACUCCACAAUCCCAAUCCCAUCGAUCUAAAUCGAAAAAGAGCAAAAAAACCAAAUCAGAGAAACCCUAGAAUGAUAUUGGGGUCGAAUCCUAAUGGAGUGCUUCACUUACCUCUACUUCCAAACCAACCACGGUAGAUGAGCUUGAGGACCCGAAGCUCGUCUUCCGCAUCUUCUCCUCCCUUCAGUCCUCUCCCGCGCCUCUGGAUCUGUUCUUCACCAGCGCCAGUGUUUGAUUCCCCAAGUGAGCUCGAGGAGGACGAAGCGGUAAGGGGGCAAUGGCCACAGGGGCAAAAUUGUCCAAAACGGAGCGCCGUAUACGGUCAAACGGCGCUGACCAAGCGGAACCGUGAUGGAAGGGCAAAAACGAAAGAAUCCCAAAGUGGCUUGGACAGAACAGGUGAGUUUCUGAAACUAGGGGUAAAACAGACGAGUGGGACACAACUAGGGGCAUAAAAUUAAUUAUCCCAAUCCUAACCGAAGUAAAAGGAUGAACAAUUUGUAUGAACAAUUUCACAUUAUAUCACACAGGAUGUUACUACUGGUACCAUUGACAUUUCUAGUAUGGCUACUCCGUUGAUCGAAGGCGGAUUUACUAAUGCCGCAAUUCCAACCUUUGCAAAUGAUGCGUAUGGGCAACCUACAGGCAUGUAUGCUCCUUUCAUCCAAGGCGAAUAUACAAGUCUGUUGCUUGGAGUUCAUCAGGAUGCCACAUUGUCCUCGUCUGCUAAAAAAUUACAUUUUGAUGAAUAGUAUUUGGCACAACCUAUAAGGAGUAUGAUCCUUUGGAUGUAAUUUGGUUUACCCAUGAAUUGUAAUUGAUGUACUGUAGCACACUGGAUUUUUUCUUCAUUUGCAAUGUUUGAGUUCUUGAUGAGUAUGUACGCCAAGCUGCUAAAGAAGUUAUAGAAUUUAUGAACUGAUGUAUUAGAAUAGAAUCAUUUUCCAAAUUGCAGUCUAAAUAGUUGUCAGAUUUCAUAGUAAAAAA